UACGGAGGGUGCGAGCGUUACUCGGAAUCACUGGGCGUAAAGGGCGCGUAGGCGGCCGGGCAAGUCUGGUGUGAAAGCCCAGGGCUCAACCCUGGAAGGGCACUGGAAACUGUCUGGCUUGAGUUCCGGAGAGGAGGGGGGAAUUCCCGGUGUAGCGGUGAAAUGCGUAGAUAUCGGGAGGAAUACCGGUGGCGAAGGCGCCCCUCUGGACGGGUACUGACGCUGAGGCGCGCAAGCGUGGGGAGCAAACAGG
rnacentral:rRNA from 1 species